UCCAGGGCCUCUUCUGGGGAGACCAGUCCUAGAGUAAGAAGGGACCCGUUCUAAAAUCCCUCCUUUCAGAGCUGAGCCCCCCUCCCCGGAGUCUUGAGCUACAGCUUAGAGCAGCGAAGCGCCCCUGAACCCCGAGGGACUGACGUGGAGACCGGCCCGUGGCCCAGGGCUUCCCGCAGGCCUGCACGCUUGGGCAGUGGGGGAGGUGCUCUGGCGUCCUGCUGGGAAGCAGCGGGCGUGCCACCCAGCAGCCUACAGUGCACAGAACCAUCCGGCCCCAGCGCCAGGCCAGCGGUGCCGAGCCGGGAAGGCCGGAGUUCCCUCGCAGGCAUCUGGUGUUUCACUGUGCUUAAUUACAUAUUCCUGAAAAUAAAAUGAGGAAGCUGGGAAACCAUGGUGGUUCGGAGCACAGGAGCCAGACACGGUCAGAACCCCAGCCUGCCCUGCCCCAGCUCGAUGGCCUUGGGCAAGAUCUAUCUGAUGUACUGGUUAUUUUCUGUCUCCUCAAUACAACGUGCUCCAUACGAGGAGGGGCCUCUCUUACUCUCUACUGAGUCUCAAGUGCCUAGAAAAUCACCUAGUGCACUGCUGGUGCUCAGUAACUACUCGGUAGAUGAUGAAAUAAACACGUAUGUAAAACGGAGAUCACCAUCAGGAAACACAGAAAGGACUGAGUUAUGUACCACUCUGGUUGUCUGUGGCGCCUGCAGAAUACCCACCCCGGGAAAACUGGGACCUCCCGUCAUGGAGUGCUCGGGAAGCGACGUCUCAGCGGCUCCUCGGCCCCUGGUACUUCUGCGCUACCUUCCCCAUCACAGGAAGCAAUGAAGAGCCUGACAGCUAUUUGCUGAAUGAAGAAAACACCCUUGCAUGGAGACUGCAUCGUGGCUGACUGCUAACACCUCUCUAAACCUGGCCCCAACCUACCCAUUGAUUCAAAACACAAAUGACAAGGGUUGAACCUAGAGCGCUCCAUGACGGACGCCAUCCUGAGAUGUGGGGUGUGUUGUGAUAAGACUUGGAGGCAGCACCCCACCCUUAUGCCCAUCUUACAGAUAAGAAAGCUGAGGCAGGUGGAGGCCAAGGAAUCUGGAAUGGGAUCCAAUCAGUCCAACUCCAGAGCCUACACACUUAACUGUUCUUGAGCAUUUAUUGAGCACCUACUAGGUACCGUGCCUCUGAGCAGACAGUGAGAAGGCAAACCAGGUGGUCUUUCUGGAGUUCAGUCGGGAAGAUCCUUCCCAACCUCAGCUUGAAGUAAACCCACUGAAUGAGCGCUCCCCUCCCCCGCAUCGAUUGCUAGGGUCCUUGUUAGCAUUCACUUGGCCCUUUGUGCUCCAGUAGACCAGUGCAACUUUUCUGUGAGUUUUUUGAUUCUGUUAGUUAGGGUUCACGGGUCCCCACUUAAGAACUUUACCUUACUGCUAUCUGAAUUAGUGCUCCCAGCGAGAAGCAUUUUUCGCUCUCCCCUGCCUAGACCCUGAGGCUCAUGAGGGCUGGAGCUGGGUCUGCCGCCCCCUUUGAUCUCAUCCUUGCCCUGCCUGCCGCCUGCUCUGCUUAGGCGCCCAGCCUGGUGCUGGGCUCAGAGCAAGGCUCCAACGAAUGCUUCUUAUGCAAGCAUAUUCCCACCCUGUGGUCUGCCAAAAAGGCAAAAUAGAGCAGCUUUGUUUAUUUGGUUUCUUAAGAUGCCCCAACGCCAGCUCCCUUUACUCAUCCGAUAGACAUGUGUACCAAAUAAAAAACAAAAAUAUCAACAGAA